AUUGAACGCUGGCGGCAGGCCUAACACAUGCAAGUCGAACGAGUGGCGGACGGGUGUGUAAUGUCUGGGAAACUGCCUGUUGGAGGGGGAUAACUACUGGAAACGGUAGCUAAUACCGCAUACCAUCAGAUGUGCCUAGAUGGGAUUAGCUUUUUGUUGGGGUAACGGCUCACCAAGGCGACGUUACCUAGCUGGUCUGAGAGGAUGACCAGACACACUGGACCUGUGACACGGGCCAGACUCCUACGGGAGGCAGCUGUGGGGAAUAUUGCACAAUGGGCGCAAGCGUUAUGCAGCCAUGCCGCGUGUAUGACGAAGGCCUUCGUGUUGUAAAGUACUUUCAGCGGGGAGGCGUUACCCGCAGAAGAAGCACCGGCUAACUCCGUGCCAGCAGCCGCGGUAAUUC
rnacentral:rRNA from 1 species